rnacentral:rRNA from 1 species
CACGUAGGGACCAAGCGUUGUCCGGAUUCAUUGGGCGUAAAGAGCUCGUAGGCGGUUCGAUAAGUCGGGUGUGAAACCUCCAGGCUCAACCUGGAGACGCCACCCGAUACUGUCGUGACUAGAGUCCAGUAGGGGAGCGUGGAAUUCCUGGUGUAGCGGUGAAAUGCGCAGAUAUCAGGAGGAACACCGGUGGCGAAGGCGGGUCUCUGGGUAGUAACUGACGCUGAGGAACGAAAGCGUGGGUAGCGAACAGG